rnacentral:rRNA from 1 species
AAGCGAAAAAAACAUGUCUUGGACUGGCAACGUGCGAACGAGCGAGCGAGCGGGCGAAGCCUCCAGGUGCCCUCGAGCGACACCACACCAGAUCCCCUCGUCGUUGCCCUCGCCCGCGCAGCCGCCGCCGAUCCCCUCCCCCAUCUUCCUCCCUCAAACGCUAACCCGUCUCCACACCACGACCGCCACCGCCCGUCGUGGCCGCCCCCGCCACCUCCCGCCGCGGCCGCCGCCUCAGCUCCAGCCGUGGCCAUCGCGCCCAGAUCCAGCCGCGGCCGCCGCCCCCACGUCCCACCGCGGCCGCUGCCCUGCGCGCCAACGACCCCUUCCCCCGCUGCUGCGCCACAGGUCCACUUCGCCAUGAGCUCCAGCGCCGACCAUCCCGCCGCUUCUCGUGAUCCCCUCUUCCGUCAGCUCCACUUCACCGGAACCGCGGCCGGCGGGCGACGCGAGGCGCGGUGGCGGCGCGAGGAAGACGGGCAGAUCCGGGCACGGUGUCGAUCGAUCUGGCGGCUGGUGUGGCGGCUUGUUCCAGUGCCAGCGGCGUCCUGCUCAUCCAGAGAAGGAGAGAGAAGGGCCUGAGGGAGAGAGGAAACAGAGGAAGAAAGAAGAAGGAGAAGGGACGCACGCAGGGUGAGAGAGGCAGUUGCCGGCGAUGACGGCUCCGGUGACUGGCCGACGGGCUUGCUAGGCAAGGCUAAGGAGUACGCUAGCCUGAGAUUCGAUAGAGGGAAGAAGUUGUGGUGGCGGAGAAUUAUACAGCCAUUGUCUCUCACGACUGCCGGCCCCUGCUCGCGACGUCUCUACUGGAGCCGCCUCUGCCUACUCUGGUGUGUUGCAGCUCCUUACUCUAGCCACAUGCCGCUUGCUUUCCUGCUAGCCUCUGCCUCCUCUGGUCUCGAAGUUGAUGAGACCCUGAUGCAAAGCGUCCAUGCAAAGCUCCCACAAUCAUCCGCUCCAUCUCAGCAGGAGGAGAGCAAUGGAAAUAACACCCCGUCGCGGUCCUGGUGCUUCUCUCCGUGGGCUCGCUUGCUCACCUCGGCGUUUGCGGCUUCUACAGGUACGUACUAGACGACUACCAUUGUUUUUGUUUUCUAUUGACAGUUUGAUCGCUCCAUCAAUCCUUCUAGAGGGUCUUGACAGGAAGGACUGAGCAGCCACUGUGCUGGAGUAGACUGUGUGACAGGUUUUUACCUCUCUCUCCUACCCGUGAUUGGUUUCUUUGGUGAAGAAAGCAUCACCAUCUUUCAAUACAUACUAGAUGCUUGUAUGUCUACAUGGUACAAGAAUGAAGAUUAACCAUUAAAUAUCUUGAUUCAGAGUGAGACAAGGGUGAAACAGAAUAACCUCAUUUUGUGGUGAGUUCUCCUAAAGAUUUUAAUGAGCAGACAUCGGUUGAUGAUAGAGGCUUUGUUAAGCUUGUUUUGAUCCAAAUCCAAUAAUAAAAUUUGAUCAAUUCCUCUAUAAUCUACGGAAGUUGCAUAUAUUUGUCAGGAAUAAUCAGCUUGAUUGAUAAUUUAUAUUUUUCAUUUUGCAGUUUGUAUCUGGUGAAACUUUAUAGGCCAGUUAACAUACAUAUAGAAAUAGUGUCAUUUUCCUUUUAAAAAAAGAUUAGCGUUGCAUGUUGAUAGUAGCAUUGGCCAAUAAUUUCACACCGAAAAGAAUCUAAGAUGAGACAGAAGCAGAUGGACUGCAAGCUAUAACUGAGUAGUGCACAACGACAGAUAAACUAACGAAUACAAACUCUUAUUUAUUUUGUAAGUGUUGCAACACAUGGGCUUGUAAUUCAUGGUUCGUACAACGGCCGUAGCAACACAUGGUCAUAUUUUUAUCAAAAACUGUGGCUGCAAAACCAGGGUUCAAAAUGAACAUCCAUUCCAUUGAAUCGUGGGUACAACAUGAGGCAUCUGUCUCUGAUGUGUUGUUACUUUGGUAGAUAAUAUGUACUGUGCGUGCGUGCAUGUGUUGAUAAGUAGCAGAUUUGCUUGGCCGCCUGUGACACUCAUGUCAAAUCCUUGACAUUUCUGGGGUUAUACAAGCAUCAUGUUUUCUAAGGUUUUGUUUUCCCGGCAUCCAUCUCUUCCAUGGCAAGCAGCACAAGUUUAUUUGUUUGUAAAUUAAGCAGUCUGGUAGAUUUGGAAAGGAGGAACAGGGUACUGAACUUCUAUAUAUAUCUGCAUAAGGUACAUCCCAGUUAAGCAGAUUUGUUUUUAUGUUCUGAACAGGGUACUGAACUUGGUAAUUUUACCUUUCUGUUAUGAAUUGCAGAUUUGCAAGAAUAUUAUGUUAUGUAAGAACAUGGCGGUGCAAUCACCCGAGGUGAAGAAGCUCCGUCACCUACCUCUACCUCCUCCACUAGGCUGACAAGCACAACUGCUGACAACUGAUAAGCAAUCAACAUGGUGGGUAGUGGUUAGUGGCAACAACUGAACUGACGGUCAGAUCGCAGCAGCUAGCAGAAUGGUCAGUUACCUUGGUGGAACCAUACAGGUCAUGGAGCCAAAAACAUAUGAAGCAAGAUAGAUAAAAUUCAGACUGGCGACCAAUCCAUCUUCAGUUCCUGGCUUUACGACUAAAAUCAGCACAUCGGUCUGUGAGCUGUUCAACCUAGCUAGCCCGGUGAACCUGAAUGACAAUAAAGUUACCUCAAUACUUUGAUCCAGAUUGAAGAAGGCUGUACAGACCCUCUCUACAGAAACAUGUGCUAUUGAAGAAUAAUAUGUCAUUGACGAUCAUGUAUUCCUAAUUUCCUAUACACUUCCGAUGCCCGUUGCAACUUCUCAUACAUAAGGAACAUAUGGUGCUCAGUGCUAUAGGAAGGAAAUAUUGGUGCAGAUGGCAUGAAUACAGCAUCAUACAAACAGCUAAGUAUGAAAACCACCUUGUUGAUCAUGGCGCCGCCGAAGACCUGGAGCUGCCGCUUGAGAACACCCUGCUCAUCUCCCGUCCUACGAAGAAGCAGAGGUCAGGGAGGCGCAGUACAGCACCGAGGGCAGCCAUCGGUGAUGGGAGGACCCUGGAGCCUGGUGUACUGAAAGCAGUAGCGUCGGCGUCCUCGUCGUUGGCGGCGGCGUCGUCCAGGAAAUUGCCACAUCUUCUAGGUCGAUCCCUCAAUCGGCGAUGCGAUGCGGCGUUCACUUGAGUGGAAUGGGGGCGUGCACUUCUCCGCCUACAGCUCGCCGUGGAAGCCUUGGGCUGCUGGUAGCGCCAGAAAUAUGGUGCCCGGAGAGGCUGUGCCGCACCGGGGCGGCAGCGUGAGUGAGGCAUUGAGCCCGUGCGCCGCUGGGGCACCGCCGCACCAGGACGCCGACCGGCAAGAGAGAAGGGGAAGAAGUCGACCUCCCAUGGAGAAUAGGGAGGCAGCCAGGCAGGGAUGGGCGCGGACGGCGAGGACAAGGGAGCUCGCCGUCAACCAGGAAGACGGCGAUGGCGGCCAACCAUACUUUGUCCAGCAAGAAAGCCGCGGGUGA